GACCUAGUCGCUUCGGUAAACACAACCCACCUCGAAAUACGCUCCGAUUGCUUAUCGUCACUUACAAUCGGCCUCCUGCGGCACCCGUGACCCGGUUCGGCCCGAGCUCUCGAGCGACCACCCGAACGGCCACCAAUCCGCGAUUUGAAAAUUCUGGAGUUUAUUCCUCGACUCCACGAUACUCCGGAUCCGAUCUCAUGAUUUUCAGACGUCUAUUCCGCGCGCUGCGGCUAUCUGUACCAAAACUAACCGUUUCGUCAAUAACUUCGCGUAGACUUUUCGUUUCACCAAACCGAGCGCACCAACGCGGCGGAAAUACCCCCAAUUAA
rnacentral:lncRNA from 1 species